rnacentral:rRNA from 1 species
AGUGAACGCUGGCUGUAGGCCUAACACAUGCAAGUCGAACGGCAGCACAGUAAGAGCUUGCUCUUACGGGUGGCGAGUGGCGGACGGGUGAGGAAUACAUCGGAAUCUACUUUUUCGUGGGGGAUAACGUAGGGAAACUUACGCUAAUACCGCAUACGACCUACGGGUGAAAGCAGGGGAUCUUCGGACCUUGCGCGAUUGAAUGAGCCGAUGUCGGCUUAGCUAGUUGGCGGGGUAAAGGCCCACCAAGGCGACGAUCCGUAGCUGGUCUGAGAGGAUGAUCAGCCACACUGGAACUGAGACACGGUCCAGACUCCUACGGGAGGCAGCAGUGGGGAAUAUUGGACAAUGGGCGCAAGCCUGAUCCAGCCAUACCGCGUGGGUGAAGAAGGCCUUCGGGUUGUAAAGCCCUUUUGUUGGGAAAGAAAAGCAGCAGGUUAAUACCCCGCUGUUCUGACGGUACCCAAAGAAUAAGCACCGGCUAACUUCGUG